UAGGGAAUCUUCCACAAUGGACGCAAGUCUGAUGGAGCAACGCCGCGUGAGUGAAGAAGGUUUUCGGAUCGUAAAGCUCUGUUGUUGGUGAAGAAGGAUAGAGGUAGUAACUGGCCUUUAUUUGACGGUAAUCAACCAGAAAGUCACGGCUAACUACGUGCCAGCAGCCGCGGUAAUACGUAGGUGGCAAGCGUUGUCCGGAUUUAUUGGGCGUAAAGCGAGCGCAGGCGGAAGAAUAAGUCUGAUGUGAAAGCCCUCGGCUUAACCGAGGAACUGCAUCGGAAACUGUUUUUCUUGAGUGCAGAAGAGGAGAGUGGAACUCCAUGUGUAGCUGUGGAAUGCGUAGAUAUAUGGAAGAACACCAGUGGCGAAGGCGACUCUCUGGUCUGCAACUGACGCUGAGGCUCGAAAGCAUGGGUAGCGAACAGG
rnacentral:rRNA from 1 species